CAAAAGGGGGACUAGCAAUCUACAACAUCAGAAGGAUGAUUCAGAAGCACAAGAAUGAAGCCAAGAAUCGCAAACUGCAAGGCAUCCUUUUUAAAUUAGUGCAGGGCGAGGAAGAGUCAAGAGCAAACUAAGAGGGCUUUUACUAUCCUAUGUGAUCUUCACCGUCGAAGGGUCUGGUUUGAUUACCGCACAUCAAAUGCUAUAUGCCAUGUUUGUUUCCAUCCUUCUUCGAGGCUUAUGAUAGGUGCUAUUUCAUUGCUCAUUGGGUAUGAAAAUGUUGAGCAAGAGGAUGAUAGUGAUGCCAGCAGUGACGAUGAAGCAAUUCAAAACCCAAAUAUUGUACUUAGUAAAGAGGACGUU